rnacentral:misc_RNA from 1 species
AUUGUGUUUUCUACUUGGAAAAGUUAUCAAAACAGAGGCAAUUCGAAUGUUUGCCCUCGUGGCCGGCCGGGGCCUCCAGGGAGAGCUGGACCCAGAGGUGAUAAGGGAAGGCGAGGAAGGAAAGGUUCCCUAGGACUCAUGGGACCACCAGGAAAAAGUGGAAAACAAGGAGUCAUGGGACCACCAGGGAUGAGAGGAGAAAAUGGAAUGAAAGGUGACAUGGGGCAACCGGGUAAGCCUGGUAUGCCAGGAUUGAAAGGUGAACCAGGUGAAUCUAUUUCGAGUCCAAAAGUAGCAAUUACUCCCCCAAAACUAUUUGUCAAUGAAACCAACACAGCCUCACUCCUGUGCUCCACGUCUGGAAAUCCCACCGCCCAAAUAUCGUGGUCAAAGGUCAAUGGAUCGUUACCAAGUGACAGGACCAAAGUGCGCUUAGACGGUCUGAUUCAGAUAACUGAGGUUCGCACGAGCGACUCAGGGAAAUACAAAUGCGUGGCACAAAAUAUCCUGGGGAAAGAUGAAAAAACUGCAAGGCUUGUCGUACGAAGUAAACCUAAAGUUUCUCUCUCCUUUGGCCCGACUUAUGUUGAAAAGGGCAAGAACGUCACGUUACCAAAAUGUCACGUGACCAGUUUUCCUUCGGCAGUCAUCACAUGGUCUAGAAUGCGCGGUGAACUCGCACAUUCCAGAACUGUUAUGAAAGACGGACAGUUGUUGAUUAUCCGUGCUCAGAAAAGGGAUUCUGGUUUGUACGAAUGCAAAGCCUCCAAUAUCCUGGGGCAUGACUCAGCUUUGACAAAUCUUGGUGUCUUAGAUCUGCCCCGUUUUACAAUCAAUCCACCUGCACAGCUUGAUGUAGGAAAAGGCGAAAACAUUUCAGUCCCUUGUCAGGCUACUGGUGACCCUCAACCGAUAAUCACGUGGGUUAAAGAUAACAGUGAGCUGCCAGUUGGAAGAUCACAAGUUAGAGCGAAUGGAACACUUCAGAUGUGGAAUGUUAAGGACGAAGACUCGGGUAUAUACAUUUGUACAGCCACCUCACAAGGAUUGUUUAAAACGUCUUCUUUAAUGCAACUGAUCGUGACUGUUGCGAAAGAAUGUGGGCCCGUCGGUGUGGUGGACAAAAAUAAAAUUCCAGAUGCCGCUCUGAAAGCCAGCACAUUCUUUAGUACAGACUAUCAUCCAUACUACGGCCGACUGAAUGAAACCAGGGGAUAUGGGGGUUGGUGUGCUAAGACUAAAUUUGACAGAACAGACUAUCUUCAAGUUGAUAUGGGUGCGGUGCUGUCCUUAUGUGCUGUUGCUACGCAGGGAGCACGGAGCUAUAGUGGUGAAUGGACCGCCAGCUACAAAUUGCAUAUAUCCACAGACGGUGUAACUUGGACAACUUACAAGGAAUCGAAUGUUGAAAAGUGUGUGAGCGAUGGCUGUCCUGAAAGGCAUAAUUAAUUCAUAACGAGCUGGGGAACGGAAGUCAGUUGAACGGGCAAGAAUUGAAAUCAUUUCAGCUUCAGUCGACUAUUAGCGACCUGCGAUAGUGCUUCGCACCGCAGAAGAAGAUCAACCAGAGUCAGUUAAAAGAAACUAAGGGUAUUAUUAACCAGUUCUGAUAUGCCUCACAUGACUGGUCGACAGGCUUCAUUUUUUACCGCGCUGUUUUUGAUUUCUCAAAUGUUCCGUGACAUUGUCGGUCAGCAGUGUAGAGCUGGUGGAGACCUAUACUCAAUUUAUCAAAUGAUGCUUAAGGACCACACCUUUAAGACGUUUAAGUUUCCACCAGGCACGCUGGAAUGCAGAGAGGCUUGUCUGGUUGAUGACAGAUGUCAAAGCUAUAAUGUAGUCAUGUUCAUUGCAAUAUGUGAGUUAAACAAUCGGACUAAAGAGGCCAGACCAAAGGACUUUGUCAAGGACGAGAACAGAUAUUACAUGCCGAUAGGUCGAAAACGAGAAUGUGAGCCUGUUGGUGUGGCAGACAGGAACAUAAUACCAGACGCAAGAAUGACAGCGAGCACCACUAACAGUGAUAAAGAAUAUCCAUACUAUGGCCGAUUGAAUGAAGGGAGAGGACACGGUGUGUGGUGUCCUGAUACUAGAUCUGAGAGAACAGACUUUCUUCAAGUUGAUAUGGGCACAGAGCACUCUGUUUGCGCCGUGGCGACACAAGGACAUGGAGGGGGUGCUCGAGUCACCAGUUACAAAGUACGCCUUUCUGCGGACGGAAUAACUUGGAUCACUUACAAGGAAAUAAAUAUUAAAAAGGUGUUUGUAGGAAAUUCCGACGGAAGGAGUGUUGUGAAAAAUUCAAUGGGUACUGACGUCAAAGCCAGAUAUGUUCGGUUUUAUCCUGUCACAUUUAACCUGUGGCCAUGCACGAGUGUUGAAAUAUAUGUGAGGAAAUGAUGGACCAAACAAGUUUACUUAUCUAACAGCUCAAUCACUAACAGCAUACAAUCAGAAUAACUAGAAAGAAAACACCAAAAAAAUCACAAAAAUAAUUUUAGAAUUGAUAGUGAUAAUGAUAGUAAUGAUUAUGAUAGAAGUAUUGACAAAGAUAACAAUUACAAGUCUAGGCUGGAAUAUGCAAACAAAGCUCUGAUUCCGUACAGAUAGUCAAUAAGCGAACGGAAAAUCUUCUAUAUUCAGCAGAAUUACACAGUUAAACAGAAUCUGGGGUAGACGGAUAAGAUAUUCCGCAUUUGUUUCAAAGUUGUUUGUGUAACAUCGGUAUUUAUCUAGUAUAACAUUCAGUUACCAUUGCUGAUUUCUGACGUGAUCUCUAGAUACAUAUGAGUCAUCUUUUCUAUCCAGACCAGUUGAUGACUUGUGGAAGGACAUCAGUGAAAGUCUAAUUGAAAUUCCUGAAGCAGGACAAAAAUAGUCAAACAAUGCAAUAAGUGAAUGGCUCAUGCAAAUAAUAUCAAUAGAUUCAGUGGAAUUGAGACUACUGAAGGGUGGAUACCUGAAACCAAACAGCAAAGCAGUCAGUCAAUAAGUAAUCAUGCAGUUAUGUAGGAAAACAGUAUCAACUCGUCCAAACAAUAAUGUACCAACAAAAGCGGGCUAAAACACGCCAACAGCAGCUCAGUAUGCUACAUUAACAGCAAUGAGUUACUUUUCAACUUCAUUACCCGAUGAAGACAAGCAGUAAAGAAGUUAUAGGGUCGCGAUUUACAGUUGCCUUUUAUAGCUUGAGUCCGCAAAUAAUAGGUACUAUUUAUUAUGAAA